rnacentral:rRNA from 1 species
CGCGGCCUAUCAGCUUGUUGGCGAGGUAACGGCUCACCAAGGCAACGACGGGUAGCUGGUCUGAGAGGAUGGCCAGCCACAUUGGGACUGAGAUACGGCCCAGACUCCUACGGGAGGCAGCAGUGGGGAAUCUUGCGCAAUGGCCUAACGGCUGACGCAGCGACGCCGCGUGUGGGAUGAAGCUCCUCGGAGUGUAAACCACUGUUGCCCGGGACGAAUAGCUCGAUUAAUCGAGCCUGACGGUACCGGGUGAGGAAGCACCGGCUAACUCCGUGCCAGCAGCCGCGGUAAUACGGGGGGUGCGAGCGUUGUCCGGAAUCACUGGGCGUAAAGGGCGCGUAGGUGGUUUGAUAAGGGUGUGGUGAAAGUCCGGGGCUCAACCCCGGAUCUGCCGUGCCGACUGUCAAACUCGAGGACUGUAGAGGCAGACGGAAUUCCGGGUGUAGCGGUGGAAUGCGUAGAGAUCCGGAGGAAGACCGGUGGCGAAGGCGGUCUGCUGGGCAGUUUCUGACACUGAGGCGCGACAGCGUGGGGAGCAAACAGGAUUAGAUACCCUGGUAGUCCACGCCGUAAACGAUGGGUACUAGGUGCCUGGGGGAGCGACCCUCUGGGUGCCGGCGCUAACGCAGGAAGUACCCCGCC